UACGUAGGGGGCUAGCGUUGUCCGGAAUCAUUGGGCGUAAAGAGCGUGUAGGCGGCCCGGUAAGUCCGCUGUAAAAGUCAAAGGCUCAACCUUUGAAUGUCAGUGGAUACUGCCGGGCUAGAGUCCGGAAGAGGCGAGUGGAACUCCUGGUGUAGCGGUGGAAUGCGCAGAUAUCAGGAGGAACACCAAUGGCGAAGGCAGAUCUCUGGGCCGUAACUGACGCUGAGGAGCGAAAGCAUGGGGAGCGAACAGG
rnacentral:rRNA from 1 species